AGAACAGACUAAGACAGCCUCUAAGGAGACUGCUCCUGGCAAUCGGGAAGACCCAGGCAGAAGGGGCAAGAGGAGACUCCACACUGAUAAACACCAGAAAUGUGGCUAAUGGUCCUCUCUCCUGCUAAAGAUCUGAGAAUUCUGUCAGCAACAGAGUGAACACUGAGGGGAUCGUGGGGCAUGUGCUAGACAUUUCUAUAGCCCAGCUCAAAAGUGUUAGGUGACUACAGAGUGAUUCUAAAUGCGGUCUAGGGAUAUCAUUUUAGCAGAUAUGAAGCCAGUCAAGAGAUGUCAGGUUUUGGACAGAUGGUGAAGAAUCUUAUAACUUACAGAUAAUAUUAGUACAAUUAAAAAUAGAAUAUAUAUCUUCCAAAUUGUAGAAAGAAAGUAAAAUGUAGUCUAUAGAGCAAAAGACAGAAAAUAACAGAAAAAUCAAACAUCCAUUAAAAAGAUACAGAGCAGAAAAAUAAGAUGGCAAAAGUAACAGCAAACAUAUUUUUUGAGACAGCAAACAAAACAGUUAAAGUCUCCUUUUCAGAGACUCUAAGUCUGGAUUGAAAGGGAAAUGUAAGUGUGUGUCAUUGAGACUGACUGAAAACAAAAGGAAAAAAUAGAUUUUUUUCUUUUUUUUUGAAACAGUCUUGCUCUGUCUGUCACCGAGGCUGGAGUGCUGUGGCAUGAUCUUGG
rnacentral:lncRNA from 1 species